AUUGAACGCUGGCGGCAUGCUUUACACAUGCAAGUCGAACGGCAGCGCGGGCUUCGGCCUGGCGGCGAGUGGCGAACGGGUGAGUAAUGCAUCGGAACGUGCCCAGUAGUGGGGGAUAGCCCGGCGAAAGCCGGAUUAAUACCGCAUACGACCUGAGGGUGAAAGCGGGGGACCGAAAGGCCUCGCGCUAUUGGAGCGGCCGAUGUCGGAUUAGCUAGUUGGUGGGGUAGAGGCUUACCAAGGCGACGAUCCGUAGCUGGUCUGAGAGGACGACCAGCCACACUGGGACUGAGACACGGCCCAGACUCCUGAGGGAGGCAGCAGUGGGGAAUUUUGGACAAUGGGGGCAACCCUGAUCCAGCCAUGCCGCGUGCGGGAAGAAGGCCUUCGGGUUGUAAACCGCUUUUGUUCGGGAAGAAAUCCUCUGGGCUAAUACCCCGGGGGGAUGACGGUACCGGAAGAAUAAGCACCGGCUAACUACGUG
rnacentral:rRNA from 1 species